GGGGAUAUAGCUCAGUUGGUAGAGUGCAUUAUCUCAAAUGCAGAAGGCCCUGGGUUCAAUCCCCAGCAUCACAA
rnacentral:tRNA from 1 species